AGAAAAUAGAUACCCUGGUAGUCCCAGCCGUAAACGAUGCUCGCUAGGUGUCAGGCAUGGCGCGACCGUGUCUGGUGCCGCAGGGAAGCCGUGAAGCGAGCCACCUGGGAAGUACGGCCGCAAGGCUGAAACUUAAAGGAAUUGGCGGGGGAGCACAACAACGGGUGGAGCCUGCGGUUUAAUUGGACUCAACGCCGGACAACUCACCGGGGGCGACAGCAAUAUGUAGGCCAGGCUGAAGACCUUGCCUGAAUCGCUGAGAGGAGGUGCAUGGCCGUCGCCAGUUCGUACUGUGAAGCAUCCUGUUAAGUCAGGCAACGAGCGAGACCCGUGCCCACUGUUACCAGCAUGUCCUCCGGGACGAUGGGUACUCUGUGGGGACCGCCGAUGUUAAAUCGGAGGAAGGUGCGGGCCACGGUAGGUCAGUAUGCCCCGAAUCUCCCGGGCUACACGCGGGCUACAAUGGAUGGGACAAUGGGUCCCUCCCUCGAAAAGGGCUGGUAAUCUCACAAACCCAUUCGUAGUUCGGAUCGAGGGCUGUAAC
rnacentral:rRNA from 1 species